rnacentral:rRNA from 1 species
GUGGGGAAUAUUGGACAAUGGGCGCAAGCCUGAUCCAGCCAUGCCGCGUGAGUGAUGAAGGCCUUAGGGUUGUAAAGCUCUUUUGGCGGGGACGAUAAUGACGGUACCCGCAGAAUAAGCCCCGGCUAACUUCGUGCCAGCAGCCGCGGUAAUACGAAGGGGGCUAGCGUUGUUCGGAAUCACUGGGCGUAAAGCGCACGUAGGCGGACUUUCAAGUCAGGGGUGAAAUCCCGGGGCUCAACCUCGGAACUGCCUUUGAUACUGUUGGUCUUGAGUCCGGAAGAGGUGGGUGGAAUUCCUAGUGUAGAGGUGAAAUUCGUAGAUAUUAGGAAGAACACCGGUGGCGAAGGCGGCCCACUGGUCCGGUACUGACGCUGAGGUGCGAAAGCGUGGGGAGCAAACAGGAUUAGAAACCCCUGUAGUCC